rnacentral:rRNA from 1 species
CACUGCCGAGAAAAGCCUCUAGAUAGAAAAUAGGUGCCCGUACCGCAAACCGACACAGGUAGUCAAGAUGAGAAUUCUAAGGUGAGCGAGCGAACUCUCGUUAAGGAACUCGGCAAAAUGACCCCGUAACUUCGGGAGAAGGGGUGCUCUUUAGGGUUAACGCCCAGAAGAGCCGCAGUGAAUAGGCCCAAGCGACUGUUUAUCAAAAACACAGGUCUCUGCUAAACCGUAAGGUGAUGUAUAGGGGCUGACGCCUGCCCGGUGCUGGAAGGUUAAGAGGAGUGGUUAGCUUCUGCGAAGCUACGAAUCGAAGCCCCAGUAAACGGCGGCCGUAACUAUAACGGUCCUAAGGUAGCGAAAUUCCUUGUCGGGUAAGUUCCGACCCGCACGAAAGGCGUAACGAUUUGGGCACUGUCUCAACGAGAGACUCGGUGAAAUCAUAGUACCUGUGAAGAUGC